UGCAAAGAGUAAAAAGGUAAAAACAGCUAUAAUUCUCAACUGUGCUGGUCCUCAAGUGCUUGAAGUAUACUAUAAUCUCACUUGGAAUGAAGAAGAGGAUGCAGACAAGCCCAAUGAAAUACUAAAAGCCUUGAAAAAGUACUGUAACCCAAGAGAUAACGAAGUAAUCGAGUCCCAUAGAUUCUGGAAUAUCCCCUACCAGGAUCCAUUCGACAACUUCUACACAGAGCUCCAAACAAGAGCAGCCUCCUGCAACUUUAAAGAGAGAUACAGGAUGAUGAGAGACAAAAUAGUGUUCACAAUGACAGAUAGAGAGGUGGUGGCGUGAGCUUCAUUAUCGUUUAGAAAGGUUUUUUGGGGGGCAAAUGUUAAUGUUGCUUGAGCAAGGACAUUAUGACCCAGAAGACCAAAUUAAUAGGAAUCUCCUAGCAUUCAUCUUUAUCCCUCUAAUUCAUAAAGAGAUGAGCAUCUUUAAGACAACAUGGAACUCCCACAGGGUUAGAUGUCAAAAAGAUGCUCAAAUGCCAAAAGGAGUACCAAGCCAUCUCUACCACUUCCCAGAGAACUAUGAUGCUGAACAAUGUGGCAAGUUUAUCUAAUUGAUGUUAAA